UCACAGAAUUAAAAGGCGAUGAAAUGAAAUAGGUCCUAUGCUGGGUUUUAUUGAGCCAUGGACAGCAGUGUGUUGCCUUCUGCGUACUGAAACUAAACUAUACUUAAUAUAACUUUAGAUAUAUUGUAAUGUAAUAUUGUAUAAUAUCUUUCUAUGUAUGUAAAAAAA